CUAGUUCCCUAGCUGUUAGGAAGCUUGUUGGUUAAGGUGUUUAUUUUCUAGCCUUUUAUUUAGAGACUGACUCCUUAGUUCAGUUAGCAAUUCAACAGCUUAGCAGCCUUUAACACUUAAGUUAAUUCGGUGUAUUUAACUAUUUAUUGACUUUUUGUUACAGUGAGUUUGUUUACCCGUUGACUCUAAAGUUCAGUUAGCUAAGCUAAAUAACUAGCUAGUUUAUUCAGCCGAGACUCCAACAUUUAGUCGGUUUAUUCAGUCAUUUACCUGUUCAGCCACUGACAGUUAAAUUCGGUCAGUUUAUCUAACCGUUGACUCUUGAGUUUAAUUUGGUUUAUUUAUUACUUGUUGACGCUUUAACUCACUGCACCUGUUUAGCCGUUGACAGUUCUGUUCGGUCAGUUUAUCUAACAGUUGACUUGUGAGUUCAAUUCGGUUUAUUUACUACUCAUUGACUUUUUAACUCACUGCACCUGUUUAGCCGUUGACAGUUCAGUUGGGUAAGCUUAUCUAUCGUACAGUUGACUUGUGAGUUUAAUUCGGUUUAUUUACUACUCAUUGACUGUUUAACUCACUGCAACGGUUUAGCUGCUGAAUGUUCAGGGAACUGAUAAGAACUGAAGAACAGUAACAGACCACUGGCACAUCAGAUCAGUCAUGGUGUGGAAAAAACACAACCUCACAACCUGCAAGACUGUCCAAGAAAAACACAGCUGUUGUGGAAACUGCUUCAGAGACAUGUGCUGAAGUAGACAGCUUGGAUGCAUCACCUUUGGGUCACUUGGAGAGGAGAGUCCUGACCUCCCUUGGGGGCCCUUCACUCACUCCUGUUGCAAGUGGCGUGCAUGAAAAAAAGAAACUGAGUCGACUGAGAUCCUUCUAGAAGUGAUAAAAAAAGAAGAAGAAGAGGAAAAGAAAUCAGGACAGUGGUAAGUGAAACAGAUAAU
rnacentral:lncRNA from 1 species